rnacentral:hammerhead_ribozyme from 1 species
AUCCAGCCGAUGAGUCCUAAAUAGGACGAAACGCGCAUCCUAGAU